GGUACCUUUAAAAUUUUAAACUUACUAUUGUGUUUUAAUUAAUAUUGCAACCGGAAUCCCUGCAUUCCACAUACAUAUGGUACAUUCAACACCCAAUACAUUGUCCGUUUUUCCUGUGCUACUGCACAUUAUCUCUUGCAAUUCACCUGUACCGUUAUUGCAGGCAAACGACCAUUUUCACGGGCGGUCGGACUCCCGUUCAGCCGCGCAUGCGCGUCUCAUCAGAGACACCCGGCGGCCAUCUUGCAGUCUGAUUAUUGCACGCGGUUGGACUAAAUUCCGAUCGCGCCUUCAACCAUUACUGAUCUCUGACAUGCUCGUUAGUCAUGUAAUCACUACAGCCACCUUACUCAUAUUAGCUCUCCGAUUUUAACCGCGGCGGCCAUCUUUUUUGUGCCAGUCGUCGCGGCGGCGGCCGUUUUCUGCAAGGUCCUUC